CAAAGGCGGAUGCGACAGUGUAGGUACACUUCUUCAGAAUCCACGAUGAAGGUGAAAACGUUGAAGGAGAAGCGUCCCAACAGAGAGACUCCAUCCUCCUCAACUCGUACUGUGCCAUCUUGAGGAUUGGGACACCUGAAGAGGGAAAGCUUACUGGUUGGUGAUGAGAUCCCACCGAAUGCUGGAGGAAGGAUCUCUUUCUGGCGUGGCCCAGCACGAGGACAAGCAACUCUUCAAACUAAAGAAAUAACUACCUGUAUUUUACAGAGUAUAAGACGCUCCAGAGUAUAAGACGCACCUUAGUUUUUGGGGAGGAAAAUAAGAAGAAAAAUCGCCCUCUGACUACCAGCAUCCAUUGGUAUUCAUCUGGCUAGCGUCCUGUCAGUAUGUGAGAGAGUUGAGGGCUGUUUGGAAACUGAAACAGUAUUUGCUGUCGGAGCAACAAGGAAAGAGACGGCAAGGAGCCUGGGACUGGCUUAGUUCUCCAGCUCUGAGUCUGUGCUGAGCUCUAAACUAGUCUGCUGCUCAAAACUGAAACUGAAACUCCUCUCCUCUGCUUGUGCUUUGUUUGUAUUUACUACCUGUUGGAAAACCUGCUUUUGGUAUUGUUUAUUUACUUCAUGUGUUGUAUUAUAUAUAAAGAGAAG